GAGGGGGGUGCUAAUACAUGCAAGUCGAGCGAACUGAUUAGAAGCUUGCUUCUAUGACGUUAGCGGCGGACGGGUGAGUAACACGUGGGCAACCUGCCUGUAAGACUGGGAUAACUUCGGGAAACCGAAGCUAAUACCGGAUAGGAUCUUCUCCUUCAUGGGAGAUGAUUGAAAGAUGGUUUCGGCUAUCACUUACAGAUGGGCCCGCGGUGCAUUAGCUAGUUGGUGAGGUAACGGCUCACCAAGGCAACGAUGCAUAGCCGACCUGAGAGGGUGAUCGGCCACACUGGGACUGAGACACGGCCCAGACUCCUACGGGAGGCAGCAGUAGGGAAUCUUCCGCAAUGGACGAAAGUCUGACGGAGCAACGCCGCGUGAGUGAUGAAGGCUUUCGGGUCGUAAAACUCUGUUGUUAGGGAAGAACAAGUACGAGAGUAACUGCUCGUACCUUGACGGUACCUAACCAGAAAGCCACGGCUAACUACGUGCCAGCAGCCGCGGUAAUACGUAGGUGGCAAGCGUUAUCCGGAAUUAUUGGGCGUAAAGCGCGCGCAGGCGGUUUCUUAAGUCUGAUGUGAAAGCCCACGGCUCAACCGUGGAGGGUCAUUGGAAACUGGGGAACUUGAGUGCAGAAGAGAAAAGCGGAAUUCCACGUGUAGCGGUGAAAUGCGUAGAGAUGUGGAGGAACACCAGUGGCGAAGGCGGCUUUUUGGUCUGUAACUGACGCUGAGGCGCGAA
rnacentral:rRNA from 2 species